rnacentral:rRNA from 1 species
AGAGUUUGAUCAUGGCUCAGAACGUACGCUGGCGGCACGCCUUAUACAUGCAAGUCGAACGAAGUAGCAAUACUUAGUGGCAGACGGGUGAGUAACAUGUGGGUAUCUUCCCUUUGGUGAGGAAUAACACGAGGAAACUUGUGCUAAUACCUCAUAAGUCUUUACGGAGAAAGCUUUAUGCGCCAAUGGAUGAGCCCGCACUUGAUUAGUUUGUUGGUGGGGUAAUGGCCUACCAAGACUGUGAUCAAUAGCUGAUUUGAGAGGAUGAUCAGCCACAUUGGGACUGAGACACGGCCCAAACUCCUACGGGAGGCAGCAGUAAGGAAUCUUGCACAAUGGAGGAAACUCUGAUGCAGCGAUGCCGCGUGAGUGAAGAAGGCCUUUGGGUUGUAAAGCUCUUUCGUCGGGGAAGAAAAUGACUGUACCCGAAUAAGAAGGUCCGGCUAACUUCGUGCCAGCAGCCGCGGUAAUACGAAGGGACCUAGCGUAGUUCGGAAUUACUGGGCUUAAAGAGUUCGUAGGUGGUUAAAAAAGUUGGUAGUGAAAUCCCAGAGCUUAACUCUGGAACUGCUAUCAAAACUUUUUAGCUAGAGUAUGAUAGAGGAAAGCAGAAUUUCUAGUGUAGAGGUGAAAUUCGUAGAUAUUAGAAAGAAUACCAAUUGCGAAGGCAGCUUUCUGGAUCAUUACUGACGCUGAGGAACGAAAGCAUGGGUAGCGAAGAGGAUUAGAUACCCUCGUAGUCCAUGCUGUAAACGAUGUGUGUUAGACGUUGGAAAUUUAUUUUCAGUGUCGCAGCGAAAGCGAUAAACACACCGCCUGGGGAGUACGACCGCAAGGUUAAAACUCAAAUGAAUUGACGGGGACCCGCACAAGUAGUGGAGCAUGUGGUUUAAUUCGAAGAUACGCGCAGAACCUUACCAACACUUGACAUGUUCGUCGCGACUUUAAGAGAUUAAAGUUUUCGGUUCGGCCGGACGAAACACAGGUGCUGCAUGGCUGUCGUCAGCUCGUGUCGUGAGAUGUUGGGUUAAGUCCCGCAACGAGCGCAACCCUCACUUUUAGUUGCCAUCAUUAAGUUGGGCACUCUGAAAGAACUGCCAGUGAUAAGCUGGAGGAAGGUGGGGAUGACGUCAAGUCCUCAUGGCCCUUACGUGUUGGGCUACACACGUGCUACAAUGGCAUUUACAAUAGGAAGCAAGAUGGACAUCAA